rnacentral:tRNA from 2 species
UAGCUCAGUUGGUUAGAGCAGCUGACUCUUAAUCAGCGGGUCCGGGGUUCGAGUC